rnacentral:rRNA from 1 species
GACGAACGCUGGCGGCGUGCUUAACACAUGCAAGUCGAACGGUAAGGCCCUUCGGGGUACACGAGUGGCGAACGGGUGAGUAACCCGUGGGUGAUCUGCCCAGCACUUCGGGAUAAGCCUGGGAAACUGGGUCUAAUACCGGAUAGGACCACUGCCUGCAUGGGGGGUGGUGGAAAGCUUUUGCGGUGUGGGAUGGGCCCGCGGCCGAUCAGCUUGUUGGUGGGGUGAUGGCCUACCAAGGCGACGACGGGGAGCCGGCCUGGGAGGGUGACCGGCCACACUGGGACUGAGAUACGGCCCAGACUCCUACGGGAGGCAGCAGUGGGGAAUAUUGCACAAUGGGCGCAAGCCUGAUGCAGCGACGCCGCGUGAGGGAUGACGGCCUUCGGGUUGUAAACCUCUUUCAGCACCGACGAAGCGCAAGUGACGGUAGGUGCAGAAGAAGGACCGGCCAACUAUGUGCCAGCCGCCGCCGUAA